UACGGGGGGGGCAAGCGUUGUUCGGAAUUACUGGGCGUAAAGGGCUCGUAGGCUGCCAACUAAGUCAGACGUGAAAUCCCUCGGCUUAACCGGGGAACUGCGUCUGAUACUGGAUGGCUUGAGAUCGGGAGAGGGAAGCGGAAUUUCUGGUGUAGCGGUGAAAUGCGUAGAUAUCAGAAGGAACAUCAGUUGGCGAAAAGCGGCUUCCUGGUC
rnacentral:rRNA from 1 species